UUUUCUGUCCUCUCCUCCUCCCUUUUACACCUCCAUUGGCUCAACCAGUUACUAUGACCUGACUUCUGAGCCAUUCUGGCUCUCCACACCGGCCUAGAGCUGGCCCCGGGUCACAGUGGGGGGCAUGGCCACCCAGGACCUGUCUAAGGCUCCAGGCUGUCCCUCCUUCCUCCCGGCCUUCAGAACUCAAGAACCACCAAAGCCCCUCAUACAAGGCUCACAAGUAACAACCCGGUUCCUGAAUACAUGAUGGCAGGACCCGGAGUUCUCCACUCUUGCCCCUGCCUGCUUCCAGAAUUAGGACUGCGAUAGGUACACACUGGCCCUAAAAACAGUUUCCGGAUCAUUUCUCCCACGCCAGCCUCUGCAGCUUUCUGUAUCUCUGCAGUGGCCCCUGUGGGCUGGCAAGUGUCUCACUGUAAGCAUUAUCCAUGGGAUACGUCCUCGUGGGACGUAUCCUGACCUUAAAUAACUAAUAACCCUGACCUUAAAUAACUAAUCUUCCCAUGAGGCCAUGUUGCCAGUCCCCACGAACCAUCUCACUUCAGCCCUCAGUGCCUCCUCUCCCUGGACCACAGCAUCAGGAUCACAGCACCAGAGUCUCGGUCCCUCACCCCACUCUGAAUCAUCCGGCACAUGCCAUGGGAGAGGUCUUCCUCUAGCUCAGCCAUGAGCAUGCUACUCCCCCACUAACACGCAACAGAUCCCAGUUGCUACGGGACCAAAAAUAGUCCAAACUAAGGCCCCUUCUAGCCUCCUCGUGCUGUGAUUCCUCAGGACGACACGCACGGCCCUGUGACUUGGCCCCACGUUACUUUUCCAGCCUAAGGUCUUCCUCUGUGUCAGUCAUUCACGUCAUCAUUUCAGCGAGAACUUUCUUGGCACCAGGCGCUGUGCAAAGCUCUUU